GUGGGGUGACCCACCUGACAGCCUCCCCUUGCGGCCGGGUCGCACGUACGACCCGGUCGUACAGGAUUAUUUUGCUAUAAAUGGGGCUCGCCUUCCCCAUUGCUCAUCAUCACCUCGCGCUCACCCCUGCAUCCUUGUGUCCGUUCCUCCAAUUUUUGCUCCGCCCAUGCCCAUGCCUGUUCCUCGCCGGAGGCCACUAGACAAGCUCUGCCCCAUCACUUGCGCGAGAGGAAGCCACGGCGGCGCGCCGCUGGCUGCCACGCUGUUGACUCCGGCGGUGGCUGCGGCACUCGCGAUGGCAUGCUCAGCUUCCUUGUCGGCGGCGAGGAGGCCAUCCUCGCAUGCCUCGGGCUGCUCUUUGCCCACCUUGGUCGACUUCUACACGGCCGGUCAGGAGCGGCGAGCAGCAAAAUCGCGAGGACAGUUGGAUCAACGCGCAGCUCUGGCACUCCUGCUUGAAGAUGUGUGACGCUGACGCCUCGGCGUCUGCAAGGUGGAGCCCAGGCUGGAGGCCGCGCGUUCUGCCCUUGCGCGAUGGCUGCGACCUAUGCGCUGGUGAUUGGUGACGAGGAAGAAGAGGGUGGAGGGCAUGCCCUCGAAGAACCUGAUGGCAAAUCACCGCCGUCGCAAGCUACCUUGAUCAUCAAGAGACGCCUGGUGAUGUAUCAAAUUCUGUCAUGCAAAAUAAAGGAGCGCUGAGGAUGAUGGUUUUCAUGUUGCCUUGGAUCAUGCUGGUUCAGUACCUUGGAUCAUGCUGGUUCGGUAGUGGCCUCUAAUAUGUCAGAUAGUCCAUGUCGUUGGACGUCGUCGGGCUGGCGGAGAGCAUGUCCACGGUCGAUCUGGAGGUCGUGUUCGGCUCCAUCGGCCGCGUCACCGGCUCCGAGUUCAUGCACACUAGCGGCCGCAGCUUCGUCUACAU